GAUCAUACAAUAUUCCGGGUUCAA
rnacentral:siRNA from 1 species